GAUGAACGCUGGCGGCGUGCCUAAUACAUGCAAGUCGAACGAAACUUCUUUAUCACCGAGUGCUUGCACUCACCGAUAAAGAGUUGAGUGGCGAACGGGUGAGUAACACGUGGGCAACCUGCCCAAAAGAGGGGGAUAACACUUGGAAACAGGUGCUAAUACCGCAUAACCAUAGUUACCGCAUGGUAACUAUGUAAAAGGUGGCUAUACUACCGCUUUUGGAUGGGCCCGCGGCGCAUUAGCUAGUUGGUAGGGUAAAGGCCUACCAAGGCAAUGAUGCGUAGCCGAAUUGAGAGGUUGAUCGGCCACAUUGGGACUGAGACACGGCCCAAACUCCUACGGGAGGCAGCAGUAGGGAAUCUUCCACAAUGGGCGAAAGCCUGAUGGAGCAACGCCGCGUGGGUGAAGAAGGUCUUCGGAUCGUAAAACCCUGUUGUUAGAGAAGAAAGUGCGUGAGAGUAACUGUUCACGUUUCGACGGUAUCUAACCAGAAAGCCACGGCUAACUACGUG
rnacentral:rRNA from 1 species